GAUGAACGCUGGCGGCGUGCCUAAUACAUGCAAGUCGAGCGAACGGACGAGAAGCUUGCUUCUCUGAUGUUAGCGGCGGACGGGUGAGUAACACGUGGAUAACCUACCUAUAAGACUGGGAUAACUUCGGGAAACCGGAGCUAAUACCGGAUAAUAUUUUGAACCGCAUGGUUCAAAAGUGAAAGACGGUCUUGCUGUCACUUAUAGAUGGAUCCGCGCUGCAUUAGCUAGUUGGUAAGGUAACGGCUUACCAAGGCAACGAUGCAUAGCCGACCUGAGAGGGUGAACGGCCACACUGGAACUGAGACACGGUCCAGAAUCCUACGGGAGGCAGCAGUAGGGAAUCUUCCGCAAUGGGCGAAAGCCUGACGGAGCAACGGCGCGUGAGUGAUGAAGGUCUUCGGAUCGUAAAACUCUGUUAUUAGGGAAGAACAUAUGUGUAAGUAAAUGUGCACAUCUUGACGGUACCUAAUCAGAAAGCCACGGCUAACUACGUG
rnacentral:rRNA from 1 species